UACUUUGGAUUGCCACGGAUUCAUUGUGA
rnacentral:piRNA from 1 species